GACGAACGCUGGCGGCGUGCUUAACACAUGCAAGUCGAGCGAUGAAGCACCUUUGGGUGUGGAUUAGCGGCGAACCGGUGAGGAACACGUGAGGAAUCUGCCUUUCACUUCGGGAUAACUCCGGGAAACCGGGGCUAAUACCGGACAUUUUCAACUGGCGGCAUCGCCGGUUGAAGAAAGUUGUUCGGUGAAAGAUGACCUCGUGGCCUAUCAGCUUGGUGGUGAGGUAAUGGCUCACCAAGGCGACGACGGGUAGCCGGCCUGAGAGGGCGACCGGCCACACUGGGACUGAGACACGGCCCAGACUCCUACGGGAGGCAGCAGUGGGGAAUAUUGGGCAAUGGAGGAAACUCUGACCCAGCGACGCCGCGUGAGGGAUGAAGGCCUUCGGGUUGUAAACCUCUUUCAGCAGGGAAUGAGCGAAAGUGAAGGUACCUGCAGAAGAAGCACCGGCUAAUUAUGUGCCAGCCGCCGCCGUAA
rnacentral:rRNA from 1 species